AAGAAGACAAGAAAAAAAUAAAAUAAAAACUCUUUUUCUUUUCCCCCUCGUCUAGCAACCAGUCGGCCAGAGGAGCCCAACCCCUCACGCUUGCACGCACGGGAGCAGGGAGCAUCCAGCCACGCCUUGGCCAGGGGCCCACCCAUCGGUAGCCAUAGAUGCUGCACCGUGGGCCCUGUGUGUCAGGUCCAUCUUCUUCUCAAUCGUAACUGCUUGCUCUAUUUCUCCGUUGCUGCACACGCCCAUGAUUUUGCAACCGUCGUCCUUCAAAUCUGUGCCCCGCUCCCCACGCCUCGCAGCCCUCUAACUUUUCGCUACUCGACAGCCAUCCGCGCCGCACUGCCUUGCGUCCCGCCGUCAUUUACCACAUCGCGCAGAUCUCUGUCGCGCACCUAGGUGCCUCCGUCGCACGGGAAGACUUCGCCAAGUCGCCGGCAACAACCAGCAAGCGCCCGCGAGCCCAUGCUGGGAGCACUGCAAAAGCUCACCAUCAUCGUCGCGUCUGUUUCCUUGCCUCGUCGUCGCAUUCACGCAUCAGCAGGAAGCCGGAGCCACCGCUGCGACGUCUGCUUGCCGGAGCUUCGCUGAGCUACCCUCCGCGAUCAUCUUCGUCGAGCUUCCUUCCGAGGUGAGGUUUGUGCCUACCCUUCUGUAGCCACGCCGUCCUGGGCGAGCUCCACCCCAUGCGCGUGUGCCCCCGCCCUUGCUGUAUGCGUGUUGCAGCCAGCCUGGCCAUGAGCCACCGCUAGGCGAGGCCUAGACAUGGGCAGGUGGUUCCUCCACGGCUGGCUCCUUGCUCAAAUGCUUGCUGCAGUUCACGUUCUUGGAAUGAGAAAGAAACUGCUCCUUGUCGUGAGGUAGCUUGUCGUGAGGUAGAAGAGAGGCCGUAGCCACACAUCCCACUAAAUCCGAGCACAUUUGGCUGAGGUCUAUGCGACCCUCUGUGAGGCUCAUUUUUUCGGCCAAUAGAAGUGUGUCGUGUCACAGUAAUCCGCGAGAUAAUAAAUAUUCAAUAUAUUUUGUGUCCCGAAUUCGUUUUAAUCCGUUCCAGUUACGUUUGCUUCGUAAUAAUAUCGUCUACAUGUUAAGAACAUUAUUUUGUCACAACACAUGUCUUCGUUAAUUUAUUAAUUAUUUGUUUAUCCGAUGGUAAUUAAAAUAGCAAUUCAAUUUAAACUAAUAUGUAGUUUAAAUCUGUGCAGUUAUAAAUACAUGUUAACAUAAAUAAUGUUGCCUCAAAUACAUGGAUCAAAUAGUCGUCUAGUGUAAACACAACGUCUAUUUAGUAGUUUUCGCGUGUCAUUCACGCGUUGUUUUUGCGUCGUCGUCGUUCGUUCGCGCGUUCGCGCCACGCGUCUCGUUCGCGUGUUAUCGCAUGUUGUUCGCGCGCCGUUUGCGCGUCGUCCGUGCGCUAAGUCGAGAGUGUCCGCGCGUUGUUCGAAUGUGUUGUUCGCGCAUUGUCGCGUGCCACACGUUGUCCGCGUGCGACAUUAAAUCGUUCACUUAUAAUCACUCAGCACAGUUAAUUAAUUAUUGGUUUAAUCUUUCACUAUUAAAAUAGGAAUUUAGUCCAAACUAAGUAGUAGUUGAUAAAUGUCAAUCAAUAUAAAUUAUGUUGAACUAAUGUUCUAACCAAUACUUGUUUAGCGUAACCGCGUUAUUUGUUGGCGUCGUCACAGUGUCUACGCGCUGUUCGCGCGUGAUGUGCUUGUGGUCGCGUGCUGGUUCGUGCGCGUUCGCGCUCGUCGCGCGCGCUGUUUUCGUGUGUCGCCAGCGUGCUAUGUCGCGCAUGUCCGCGCGUCGUUUGCACGCUAUCGUGCUGUUUCACGCGUCAUAAAUUCAUCUCGCUUAGAAUCUCUUGUUUUAAUUAAAUUAUUUAAUUAACUGACAUUUGUUAGUGUAGAAGAUUAAUCGAACUGACUGAUGUAUAACAUUUAUAUUUGUUAAUGUCGAAUUAAAUGUUAUAUUUGUUUAACGUAAACGCGAUAACUCUCGACUGUAGCUUCGACCGAACUCUAUUUUAUGUUGCAUGUUUUUAUAACACUUUAUCUUGUAUGGUGUAAUGUUCUUAUGCAUAGAUCUAUGUUUGUUUGCUUGUGCUUGUUCGUCUUCGCUUCGCGUUGCGAUUAGAUCGCGAUUUGUUUCCGCACUUCGAGGAAUCGAAGAUCAAGAGUUGGCGACCAAGUGAUCUGGUUCUUCGAGUUCUACGAGAUUGAAGACCCUGAGCAUCUGUUUGGUGAAGGCAAGUGUCCUCUGACCCAUUAUGUCCCAUUUACUUUAUAAUACACUGUCCCGCAUACUAUGAACAACCUAAGGAUUUACUAGCUUUCUAUUUACCUUGUCCUUGAUUUACCUUUUGGGUCACUAUGGUUAGCUACAUGCUAGCGCUUUACUUUAAUCAAUGAACAUGAUGAGAUACAAUGAUGAUACUAUGAUUUUAUUCUGGAUAUGAUGAUAUAUUUGUGGCAUUUAGGGGACUCGGGCUGUUUCCCGAGUACCUCUCCGUAAGGACCUGUUCGUUGAGAGACCACCCAGGAUAACAGUGCAACCAUGAGGGUCAAAUGGGGGGCCCUUAGCUAAUUAAUUAGAGGAACUAGAGGUGUAGUUGCUUCGCCGUCGUGCCGUCAAUGGGGUCCAGGCACAAUGCUUGCUCUGCCGAGGCUGGGUGCCGAGGUUCUUUCGUUUUGCUUUUGUUAGUCACCCUCCUACGGGGAGGAGUGCUGUGUUUAUCAAACUGGAGAAACCUAACGGGCGGCUAUGACCUCUAGGGAAUCUUUGUAAAAGCUACGUAGUGAUACCCUACCGGACCACCUAGGAAGUGAUCAAUGGGGAGUCAUGAUCCCCGGGCAAAACGGGAAUCACGGCUCAUGGGUAAAGUGAGCGACCUCUGCAGAGGGUAAUGAAACUGAUAUAUCAGCCGUGCUCACGAUUAAGAGCAGCCUUGGGAUCCUCUUUGAUUAGAGAUACAAAUGAUCUGAGAUACAAUGGUUCUAUUUAUUAUUUUGGUUCGAUGACGAUAAUGAUGUUCCUCGAUGAGGAAAUGAUUCACGGGUUGGUUAUUGCUAAAACUUGGUGUCCACUAAUAAUAAACACUUGACCAACUAAAAGCAACUGCUUUGACCUUAACCCCACAUAAAGCUAGUCCACUUCAGCCAAACAGGACAUUUGCUGAGUACGUUGAUAUGUACUCACCCUUGCUUUCACAAAACACCAGGUUGCCUUUGGUGUAAUCUAUGCUCAGGUAAAGAAGAAGGCGUCGAGGCAGAUCUCCAGGAGUUUUAGGACCUCGACGAGUUCGAGUAUUAGGCUAGCGACCUCCCCCAGUCAGCUGCCUAUGGUGGGUUAAUUUACGUUGGCUACGUUUUGAUUCUGUGUACUUUGAUUCAUAUUAUGUAAAUGACUCUAGUCUUUAAUAUUAUUACUUAUUCUUUAUUGUUAUCCGAAGCAUUGUGCUAUGAUGAGUCAUUUAUGUAAUCGCUGUGUACGUGAAUUUCUGAUCCUGGCACGUACAUGGUUCGCAUUCGGUUUACCUUCCAAAACCGGGUGUGACAUAAGUGGUAUCAAAGCCGUGCUGACUGUAGGACCGCUAGCCUAGAGUAGCAUUGGCCGUUUUAAGGACUUAUUGACUAUUACUUCACCCCAUCCUUGAUGCUGCUUCAAAAUAUUAGUCACCUCGACUAAUUCUAUGUUAUGCUUCUAUAUAUCACCUUGCCAAAUGUAUUUUGUUCUAAUAUUGUCUAUGCUUCACCUAUUCAUUCUAUUAGAUCUGAUUUCACUCUUGUGCUUGCGACAUCUUUGUAGAUGCCCCCUGAUCAUAACCUUCUUGUCUUUUGGGAUUCUUUUUGUCUUCCAUUAUUAAAUUGCUACCAUUUGACCAUAUCUAUUCCAUUGGUAUUGACCUGCUGCAUCUUUUGGAUUCUUCCAUACCCUUAUCCCUUAAUUCAAAUACUUAACCCUGAAAACUCUGUUGCCCAUUUAAACAUUCUAAUUUAUAUUUUCAUGAUCAUCCUAUCUUUUGAGACCCUUUCCUAUUCUGUUGUUAAGUCACUAUCUUUUGGCUAUUCGUACUCCCUUGGUCUUAGUAUGCUCGCACCUUCAGAAUCUUGCGUACUCUUACUUUUUAUAUAAAUGCUUACCUUUUUACCCCAAUGUUUGUUUAAGACAUUUUAGUUAACAUGUCCUUGACCACCCCUGUUUCUUAACGAUCCAUGAGCGAUCAUUUUAUGUUGCCCAUCCUUGGUGAUCUCAUUGUUCCUUUUUAACUUCUCUCGAUAAUGAAUUCUUACUUCAACCAUUCUAUUGCACCCUCACCUAUCUUACCUUGAUUAUUUUCUCCACUUCGUCAUUUCGCGAGUCUUGCCUUAACUCUAUCCUUUGUUAUGCCUUUCAUUAUUAUCACCUUCGUCUUUGACACCUCUAUACCUUACCUUGAUGCCUAUCUUAUACCUGCGCUCCAAAACCUUCUCUCUUUCGUCUCAAUUUUAAACAUUGAAGGUUACCUAUUUUCCCUCAGUUGCAUCCUAUUCCUUGUCGCUUGCGAGUUUUUAACUCCACCCUUUGUUAUCUGUUACUACCUUUAUCUUCGCCGUCUCUCCAUCUUACCUUGAUGACUAUCUUAUGUCUGUUAUUUAAAGUUCCCUCUCUCAUCUCAAUUCGAGGGAAGUGUUUUACUUAUCCUGCCCUUGGUCGGAACCUCGUCUUCGCUAGGUGUGAGUCUUAUCUUAACUCCAUUCUUUGUUGUACUCAUACCACUGGCUCUUCUAUGCCUUCAUCUUUUCUCAUAUACCCUUGUCUGUUAUCGCGUUUGACCCUUGCGAUAUUUAUGUCUUCUACCUAAAUGCUUACCUUGAACUUGUCCUUUAAAAGCCUCCCCUUUCUUUCAACCUAGUUUGAGAGCUAUGAGUUACUUAUCUCUCCCAUGAUUUCUUUUCACUCCUUGUCGCCUUACAAGUUUUGUCUUAAUUCCAUCCUUUGCUGUGUUUUUUAUUUGCUAUCACCAUCACCUUUUCAUCCAUCGAUCUUGCGUCGAUACUCAUCUUUAUUCUGACUAUUAAAAAUCUCCUCUCUUCCACCUCAAUUUGAGAGUGGCAAUUUACCUAUCUGGCCCUUGGACGUACCCUCUCCUUUUCCACUUGUAGGUCUUGUCUUAACUCCAUACUUGGUGGUACUUAUAUUCUUGGUUCUUAUGCCCAUUUACCUCCUCUCCUACACCUUUGUCCGUUAUCACCUUUAAACCCACGUGAUGUCUAUGCCCUGACCUUCACGCUUACCUUGAACCUACCCUUUGAAACCUCCUCUUUUCCAUCCCUGUAAGAGGAUAAUGCCUUAUCUAUUUCAUCAUUGACUGCUCCCCCAUCUUUGGCACCUUGCAAGUUUUGCCUAAAGUACAUCCUUUGUGGUGUAUUUGUCUGUUACCACCCUCACCAUUGUCAUCCCUCGUUCCUUACAUUGAUGCUUAUCUCGUACCGGUAUUUUAAAGCCUCCUUUCUCGUUUCAGUUCAAGAGUGUUGUCUUACCCCUCCCCGCUCUUGUCCGUUCCCUUUUCCUCUGUCGCGUUGCAAGCCUUGUCUUAGCUCGAUCAUUUGGUGUGCUUUCGUCCAUUAACUCCUUUACCUUUGUAAUCACUAGAUCUUUCCAUGAUGCUUAUCAUAUGCCUACCUUUUUAAAUAUCACAUUUUCCCUCUCGUUUUGAGAAUGGUGUUUUACCUAUCCUGACCAUGGUUGCAUUCUAUCCCGGUUGGUUACAAUCCUUGCUUUAGCUCCAUCCUUUAUUGUGCUCAUGCCCCUAUCCUGCAGGUCUUAUUAUUCCCCUUGCAUGGCCUUAGAAUAGUUUCCCCUUGGUAAGGAAAGACCACCAUUUAAUUAAAAAUUACGUAUAGCAACGAGAGGUUUGUUGUUGUUUGUUUGUGUUGUUUGUCUUUGUGUUAUGACUGAUUUGCUUCUUUGUGAUGAGUGUUGGUGUGUUGUGGCCCUUGGGUCCGCAGUGGCAUCCGUUUACUAGUAGAGUGCCGUAGAGUUAAUUAGCUGGGUGCUCUCCCUUUUUCUCUCUUUAAUCCAUCUAGGCUUAACUUUUCUACCUAUACCCUUACCUCUUGCGUCUGUUCGGUUGGCAUCCUUCAGCCUCUUUUAAUCAGUCAAGAUCAGAGUCGUCAGCACCUUCACCAAGUGCAUAUCAAUGCUCCUGUUAAGGGGGUUAGCCGCUAACCCCAAUGAAGACAAUGCGAUCAACAUCAACCAACAAGAUUGAAGUGGUGCAGCGAAAGCGUGUGUGGGUCCUAACCCACAGGUCCAGAGAUCCUCAGGAAGUGUAUCGAUUGGUCGUGAUUAUCUGAAGGUCAAAGCAACCAGGCCACAAGUUAAGCUUGCAGAGCCAAAGUUGAAAUGAAGAAACUUCUAACAACCUAUGAACCAACCUUGUCGUUCUUGCUAGCCUCUUCUUGAAUCUCGGGGGCGAGAUUCUGUUAAGGGGGUUAGAUUUGUAACACCCUGAAUUUAGGGGUAUAAAAUUUAUUUUCCAAUAUCCACCAAAUUCAGGUGUUACUCUCUCAUUUCUUUGUUUUCCUUCUCUUUUUACUAAACAUAGAGAAUUAUUUUUGUUUUAUAUUGACGUAAACCUAGUGGAAUAAAACCACAGAGACGCUUUUGAUUGUUGCAUUUGCCGAUAAUAGUUUUUGUUUAUUAAAAAUGAUCUUAGUGGUGUUUACGUUCGAAAGAAGGAAAAACUAUAGAAUCUAAAUUAUUUAGGCAUGAUCUAAAAUAAACAGAUAUAUUCAUAUAUAUAUAUAUAUAUAUAAAUGUAUAGCUACGUAUAGGGAUUAAAAAAGAAGACAAGAAAAAAAUAAAAUAAAAACUCUUUUUCUUUUCCCCCUCGUCUAGCAACCAGUCGGCCAGAGGAGCCCAACCCCUCACGCUUGCACGCACGGGAGCAGGGAGCAUCCAGCCACGCCUUGGCCAGGGGCCCACCCAUCGGUAGCCAUAGAUGCUGCACCGUGGGCCCUGUGUGUCAGGUCCAUCUUCUUCUCAAUCGUAAUUGCUUGCUCUAUUUCUCCGUUGCUGCACACGCCCAUGAUUUUGCAACCGUCGUCCUUCAAAUCUGUGCCCCGCUCCCCACGCCUCGCAGCCCUCUAACUUUUCGCUACUCGACAGCCAUCCGCGCCGCACUGCCUUGCGUCCCGCCGUCAUUUACCACAUCGCGUAGAUCUCUGUCGCGCACCUAGGUGCCUCCGUCGCACGGGAAGACUUCGCCAAGUCGCCGGCAACAACCAGCAAGCGCCCGCGAGCCCAUGCUGGGAGCACUGCAAAAGCUCACCAUCAUCGUCGCGUCUGUUUCCUUGCCUCGUCGUCGCAUUCACGCAUCAGCAGGAAGCCGGAGCCACCGCUGCGACGUCUGCUUGCCGGAGCUUCGCUGAGCUACCCUCCGCGAUCAUCUUCGUCGAGCUUCCUUCCGAGGUGAGGUUUGUGCCUACCCUUCUGUAGCCACGCCGUCCUGGGCGAGCUCCACCCCAUGCGCGUGUGCCCCCGCCCUUGCUGUAUGCGUGUUGCAGCCAGCCUGGCCAUGAGCCACCGCUAGGCGAGGCCUAGACAUGGGCAGGUGGUUCCUCCACGGCUGGCUCCUUGCUCAAAUGCUUGCUGCAGUUCACGUUCUUGGAAUGAGAAAGAAACUGCUCCUUGUCGUGAGGUAGCUUGUCGUGAGGUAGAAGAGAGGCCGUAGCCACACAUCCCACUAAAUCCGAGCACAUUUGGCUGAGGUCUAUGCGACCCUCUGUGAGGCUCAUUUUUUCGGCCAAUAGAAGUGUGUCGUGUCACAGUAAUCCGCGAGAUAAUAAAUAUUCAAUAUAUUUUGUGUCCCGAAUUCGUUUUAAUCCGUUCCAGUUACGUUUGCUUCGUAAUAAUAUCGUCUACAUGUUAAGAACAUUAUUUUGUCACAACACAUGUCUUCGUUAAUUUAUUAAUUAUUUGUUUAUCCGAUGGUAAUUAAAAUAGCAAUUCAAUUUAAACUAAUAUGUAGUUUAAAUCUGUGCAGUUAUAAAUACAUGUUAACAUAAAUAAUGUUGCCUCAAAUACAUGGAUCAAAUAGUCGUCUAGUGUAAACACAACGUCUAUUUAGUAGUUUUCGCGUGUCAUUCACGCGUUGUUUUUGCGUCGUCGUCGUUCGUUCGCGCGUUCGCGCCACGCGUCUCGUUCGCGUGUUAUCGCAUGUUGUUCGCGCGCCGUUUGCGCGUCGUCCGUGCGCUAAGUCGAGAGUGUCCACGCGUUGUUCGAAUGUGUUGUUCGCGCAUUGUCGCGUGCCACGCGUUGUCCGCGUGCGAUAUUAAAUCGUUCACUUAUAAUCACUCAGCACAGUUAAUUAAUUAUUGGUUUAAUCUUUCACUAUUAAAAUAGUAAUUUAGUCCAAACUAAGUAGUAGUUGAUAAAUGUCAAUCAAUAUAAAUUAUGUUGAACUAAUGUUCUAACCAAUACUUGUUUAGCGUAACCGCGUUAUUUGUUGGCGUCGUCACAGUGUCUACGCGCUGUUCGCGCGUGAUGUGCUUGUGGUCGCGUGCUGGUUCGUGCGCGUUCGCGCUCAUCGCGCGCGCUGUUUUCGUGUGUCGCCAGCGUGCUAUGUCGCGCAUGUUCGCGCGUCGUUUGCACGCUAUCGUGCUGUUUCACGCGUCAUAAAUUCAUCUCGCUUAGAAUCUCUUGUUUUAAUUAAAUUAUUUAAUUAACUGACAUUUGUUAGUGUAGAAGAUUAAUCGAACUGACUGAUGUAUAACAUUUAUAUUUGUUAAUGUCGAAUUAAAUGUUAUAUUUGUUUAACGUAAACGCGAUAACUCUCGACUGUAGCUUCGACCGAACUCUAUUUUAUGUUGCAUGUUUUUAUAACACUUUAUCUUGUAUGGUGUAAUGUUCUUAUGCAUAGAUCUAUGUUUGUUUGCUUGUGCUUGUUCGUCUUCGCUUCACGUUACGAUUAGAUCGCGAUUUGUUUCCGCACUUCGAGGAAUCGAAGAUCAAGAGUUGGCGACCAAGUGAUCUGGUUCUUCGAGUUCUACGAGAUUGAAGACCCUGAGCAUCUGUUUGGUGAAGGCAAGUGUCCUCUGACCCAUUAUGUCUCAUUUACUUUAUAAUACACUGUCCCGCAUACUAUGAACAACCUAAGGAUUUACUAGCUUUCUAUUUACCUUGUCCUUGAUUUACCUUUUGGGUCACUAUGGUUAGCUACAUGCUAGCGCUUUACUUUAAUCAAUGAACAUGAUGAGAUACAAUGAUGAUACUAUGAUUUUAUUCUGGAUAUGAUGAUAUAUUUGUGGCAUUUAGGGGACUCGGGCUGUUUCCCGAGUACCUCUCCGUAAGGACCUGUUCGUUGAGAGACCACCCGGGAUAACAGUGCAACCAUGAGGGUCAAAUGGGGGGCCCUUAGCUAAUUAAUUAGAGGAACUAGAGGUGUAGUUGCUUCGCCGUCGUGCCGUCAAUGGGGUCCAGGCACAAUGCUUGCUCUGCCGAGGCUGGGUGCCGAGGUUCUUUCGUUUUGCUUUUGUUAGUCACCCUCCUGCGGGGAGGAGUGCUGUGUUUAUCAAACUGGAGAAACCUAACGGGCGGCUAUGACCUCUAGGGAAUCUUUGUAAAAGCUACGUAGUGAUACCCUGCCGGACCACCUAGGAAGUGAUCAAUGGGGAGUCAUGAUCCCCGGGCAAAACGGGAAUCACGGCUCAUGGGUAAAGUGAGCGACCUCUGCAGAGGGUAAUGAAACUGAUAUAUCAGCCGUGCUCACGGUUAGGGAUGGCAAUUGGACCCGUGGGUAUGGAUACCCACGGGUUUCGUACCCGGUGGACAUGGAUACGGGUUUGAAAUCUUACCCGUGGAUACUAUCGGGUCGGGUACCCGAAAUACGUCGGGUAGGGUACGAAUAAUAUGUUUUAUCCAUGGAUAUCCACUGGAUACCCGAAUUGUGAUUUGUGGCCCAUGAAGCAAAGAAAAGAAGCCCAACUGCCCAAAGGCUAAAUCAGCAACCGGCUAAGCUAACCCUAAAUUCCCUAACUCCCUUCCGGCCUUCCCUUCCCGAGCUCCCAUCCCGGCCGCCCAGGCGCUCAUCCCAGCCGCCAGACCCAGGAGGCAGGACCCCAGCGCAGCAGCGCCCCACGCUAGUCGCCACAUCCCCGCGCCCCCGCCCAGCAGCCAGUCCCCGGCGGCGGCCAGGCCACAUCCCCGCCCAGCAGCCACUCCCAGGCGGCGGCCGCCGGCCAGGCCACAUCCCCGCGCGUGCUACGCCUGUGGCCUGCGUGGCUGCGACCUGCGACGAGGAGCCUCGCGCGAGCUACGCCUGCGGCCUGCGACGAGCCCCGAGCGGUCGAGCUGCGCCUGCGUGGCUGCGACCGGUGACCGUCCCCAAGCUGCGACUGCGACUGCGACUGUGACUGGCGACCGUCUCCAACCUGCGACGUCCCCGAGCCCUAGGCCCGACCGGCGUCCCCGAGCUGUGCCUGCGCCGUCCCCAACCUCAGGUACUCAGUAGGCAUGAAGAUUUAUAUUUUACAGUACCAUAUCCACCGGAUACCCGAUACCCGACGGAUACCCGGUGGGUAUGGGUACGGGUCCAUUUUUUUACCCGAUUGACUUGGUGGGUAUGGAUAUUUGUAUAAGGGUCGGGUAUGAUAUCGGGUCGGGUAUUAUCAGACCCGAACACAACCCGACCCGCUGCCAUCCCUACUCACGGUUAAGAGCAGCCUUGGGAUCCUCUUUGAUUAGAGAUACAAAUGAUCUGAGAUACAAUGGUUCUAUUUAUUAUUUUGGUUCGAUGACGAUAAUGAUGUUCCUCGAUGAGGAAAUGAUUCACGGGUUGGUUAUUGCUAAAACUUGGCGUCCACUAAUAAUAAACACUUGACCAACUAAAAGCAACUGAUUUGACCUUAACCCCACAUAAAGCUAGUCCACUUCAGCCAAACAGGACAUUUGCUGAGUACGUUGAUGUGUACUCACCCUUGCUUUCACAAAACACCAGGUUGCCUUUGGUGUAAUCUAUGCUCAGGUAAAGAAGAAGGCGUCGAGGUAGAUCUCCAGGAGUUUUAGGACCUCGACGAGUUCGAGUAUUAGGCUAGCGACCUCCCCCAGUCAGCUGCCUGUGGUGGGUUAAUUUACGUUGGCUACCUUUUGAUUCUAUGUACUUUGAUUCAUAUUAUGUAAAUGACUCUAGUCUUUAAUAUUAUUACUUAUUCUUUAUUGUUAUCCGAAGCAUUGUGCUAUGAUGAGUCAUUUAUGUAAUCGCUGUGUACGUGAAUUUCUGAU
rnacentral:lncRNA from 1 species